CCUACGGGAGACAGCAGUGGGGAAUAUUGGGCAAUGGGCGCAAGCCUGACCCAGCAACGCCGCGUGAAGGAAGAAGGCUUUCGGGUUGUAAACUUCUUUUAAGGGGGAAGAGAAGAAGACGGUACCCCUUGAAUAAGCCACGGCUAACUACGAGCCAGCAGCCGCGGUAAUACGUAGGUGGCAAGCGUUGUCCGGAUUUACUGGGUGUAAAGGGCGUGCAGCCGGAGAGACAAGUCAGAUGUGAAAUCCACGGGCUCAACCCGUGAACUGCAUUUGAAACUGUUUCCCUUGAGUGUCGGAGAGGUAAUCGGAAUUCCUUGUGUAGCGGUGAAAUGCGUAGAUAUAAGGAAGAACACCAGUGGCGAAGGCGGAUUACUGGACGAUAACUGACGGUGAGGCGCGAAAGCGUGGGGAGCAAACAGGAUUAGAUACCCUAGUAGUC
rnacentral:rRNA from 1 species